UACACCAGCAAGAUUGUGAUGAUAG
rnacentral:misc_RNA from 1 species